AAGACGCAGAUGGCUUAGAACCUCGAACAUUGGAAGCGAGGUUCGAAGGAACCUUUCAGUUAGAUAAGUGGUAAGUUGAUAAAUGUUACUAGAACUCUAGAAGAAAUUAAACCAUGAAUUAAACAUGUUAUUUUGUCCUUAUGUCGUGGUGCAUAAAUAUGAUAACAAACCACUUUUUUAUAGGUGUGCAUGUAGCUUGGGUCGUACUCAACUGCUGACAGAUGCCAUUGAAUACCGUUGUUGUCAAUAGGUUGGGCCUACUUUACAUAAACUGGUAUUCGAUGUUAGCAUUGAAAAAAUUAGCUGUGUUACUCUUCACGAAGAGUACACGAUUAUGACACAUGCUACAGUCUUGAAGAAUGUUGGUAGAAUGUUGGCUCACUUCUAAGAGACCAAGAUGGAAGGUCAUACAAGCGUAUGACCAAGAAUACAUGAAAAUGAAAUGCACUGGCCAUACCUAUUAUACAUGGUAGCAUGAACAACUUACAUGUGGGAAACAAUGGUGUUGAAGAUAGUUGUUUCCUAUCCAAAUGCCGUUGGAUUGCCUCAGUUUUGGAAAUUCGAUCCGAGAAAGUUUUGUUUAAGGCUUCUGGGACUUGAAAUGCCUUUUACAGAGUCUAUGGUUGGAACAGCAUCAGAGCGCAAUCGUCGUCUCAUGUUUAGCGAUUUUGCAACUGUUGCGUUCACGGUGAAUGCAGAAUCUGCGAAAUGCAUUGAACAUAGCACAGAGUACUGCUGAGGAACGAAUUUUGGCCUAUGUCUCCUAACAAAUUUCGUCCAUUUAUUCAGCCUCUCCUUGUCAUUCAUGGGGAAACGAUGUACUGAGACACCUCUGUGUGUUGACUGUUUGUACAACUUUUUCCGUUGGGCCAACCAGCAACACAAUAUUGUCCUCCUCGACGAUUUUUUGCAGAAUUUUGCCUACUCGCCAUAUUUUAACUUGCGGUGUAUCGUUACGUUUGACUAACUUAAUAAAAAUUAUUCUCCUUA